UACGUAACCACAAGUGGUAUCCACUAAUAUUGGGCCUAAAACGUCUGUAGCCUGUUUUGUAAGUCUUUUGUGAAAUCAGCAAGCUCAACUUGUUGAAUUGCAAAAGAUACUGCACGACUCGAGGCCGGAAGAGGUAAAGGGAAUUUCAGGGGUAACGGUGAAAUGUUAUGAUCCCUGAAAGACCACCAGUAGCGAAGGCGCUUUACCAGGACGGCCCUGACGGUGAGAGACGAAAGCUGGGGGAGCGACCAGGAUUAGAUACCCGUGUA
rnacentral:rRNA from 1 species